CAAAGUACGCCCACAGCCUGGUUUCAGGGUUACGGUUUGGUGGGUGAUGCUAUCGAAGCGAUUAUAUUUAUAUGCACACAGAAGCCUUAUUGCGUUGUUUGGAACAAAAGAGUUGACACAAGCAAAGUAAAAUGGCCUUGUUCAAAGUCCAAGGCGACGCCUGUCCCUGCGAUGCGUAUUGUGUCCCGCCAUGGACCUUCGCUUUGUAAGACGAGAACAAAGACUCCAGUGCAAGCAAUUGACGAAUUGUCCUUUCUGCCCCCAUCUAAUUGCAUCGCGAGCCUGUUAUAUUUUCUAAUUCAAAUGAAGUCCUGCAUGAUUCAUGCGGAUAUUAAACGGCGGAAUAAUAGUCGGAAGCAGAGGCAGAAGGUUGAAGUUUAAAACGAGGUUCUUACUGGACUUAAGGAAUUGAAUGUCCGGGAGGCUGCGGUUCCUGCCUUUGCAGAUGACCUCUGGACGCAUUUCUAUCGACUUCCACCUAGGAUAUGGCAACCUUGCUGGUACCUGUAUUUGCCAAUUGAUUUGCUAGAUCUUGGCGAUAUAUCUUUUAUGCAGGGUCGUUCAGCUUCUGGUGUGAACUGUGAAUUCCAGUGAUUCUCUUCAUUCAAACACGCAAAGAAAUGUCUGUCCUCAAGAUUCUCAUAUUCCAGGCAACAUGAGGCAUGAUUUUUAAUAUUUGAAUCGCUGAAUACAUUUAUUUGGCAUUCUACAUUUCCUCUCUGUACUUUCUGCAUUAUUCGUACUUACUGCUUCUUUUUCAUGGGUUUCAUCAUCCAUCCUGCUCCAGCCUUUGGUUCCUCAGCUAACUUUGAACUUGCUCUUGAAGCAAGACAGUUUCGAAUUCGAGCUGACGGUGACAAUUUGAAAUUCUACACCCAUUAUUCCCAGUAAAACUUCGAUGAUGAUUGUAUACUUUCUAAUUCUUCUACGUAUCUGUUCUAUGACCAUCAUAUUUCCCCUCCUUUCUAAUCUCUAUUUCUGAUCGCUGUAAGAGGUGUCAUACUCAUCAUAUUAUUAUUGUGAUUGCUUACAAUACUUAUUGCUCUUUAUCGGUUUCUUGAAACUAUUAAAUGAAAUGGCAGACCAAUGCAUGAGAUCACGAUAUCAACAAACGACAUGCCAAACCUUCUAAGUCAGGAGACUGAGAAGCUUAAACAUGUGCUGACAAAAAAAAUAAUUCAGAAACUUGAGAUUCAGCCUUCCUUCAAGAAAAUCGGCAGUCAAACUGCAGAGCAAGGACAAAUCAGGAUCAAUGAAUCUACCUUUAAGUGGAAGUGCUGCCUGGGAAAUUGAUGCAAGCUGUUUGAAAUAUGAAAGAAAAAUUGCAUCCGGACCUUUCUCUAAUUUGUAUAAAGGUGCUUUCUGUAACCAAGAAGUGGCUUUCAAAGUUCCCAAGGCUGAGAAUCUGAAUGAAAGUAUACAAAAGGACUUUGCUCAAGAGGUCUAUAUUCUGAGAGUGAAAUAUAUAAUCAGUAGCCUAUUGAUGGGAAUGCUGAUGGUUCUCGUUUAUAAAUUGAAUCUUGCGGUGAAGUGUGUCACAAGAAUGUUGUCAAAUUUGUGGGGGCCAGCACAAAACCUCCAGACCUGUUCAAUGUCACAGAAUACAUAUUUGGUGGAAGUCCGUAUGAGUUUCUGCACGUACAGAAGGCUGUACUGACUCUCCCAUCGUUGCUCAUAGUAGUAAUCAAUGUUGGUGAAUGAAUGAAUUAUUUGUAUCAGAAUGACAUCAUACAUAGGGAACUCAAAACUGCAAAUCUUCUGAUGGAUGAGAACAGGGUAAUAGGUUAUAUUUUGUGCCACCUACUUUGAGAUUUGCUUAGGUUUUUUAUGUCUAUUAGUGAUUACUUGAACAUUCUAGCAAGGUUGCUGAUUUUGGCGUAGCAAGAGUGGAAGAUCAGUCAGGCAUUGUGACUGCAGAAACUGGAACCUAUAGAUGGAUGGCUCCAGAGGGUAAUGACAAUGUUGAAGAUUUUUUGGUAAAAUGUGUUGAAGCAUUCUAAAUAGAAGACAAGAGUGGACUGCAAGGGUUUGACCUUCCUCUCAGAAUUCAUUCUUUUCGGUUGGUUGAACCCAAAACUUACAUCGCUUUGACCCUAGCAUGUUCCACGUGGUUGCAAGGAAGAAGGAAGUGAUAUACUGUUGCUUUUACCUCACAAUAGGUCGAUUAUUAUAACCUGUGAUUCGGUUGAUAUUUGGAAGUUUAUUGAACAUAAACCAUAUAAUCACAAAGCCGAUGUGUUCAGCUUUGGAAUUACUCUGUAGGAGCUGCUCACGUGAAAGGUAAUGCUCUUUGUAUAUCUUCCCCCAUUCUUGUUUUCUUGUUCACGUUGUAAAACUGCCUUCCCUCAUCCUUCUUCAAAAGAGAAGUGGCAGAAUGGUUACUUGAUCACAUUCAAAGCUUUUUUUCCGGUUAUGUCGAGCAAGCUUCGUGACAGACAUGGACUUAUAUAAACAAGGCCAUCCUGGGUUGCUUUCGAAAUUUAAAACUAAAAAUAUAUAUAGCUUAGAUAUUACCCUUAGAUUUCAGCAGGGUUGUAGUCUGGCAAAGUAUUUCGCGGUAUGACUUCCUAGUAAUGGAGCUCAAGAUGAGCUCAGUCUAGCCUUGAGGUUGCCCACACAUAGAUUCAACCGCACUUGGAUUAUUUCCUGAAAGUGAAGCAAGUAGAGGGAGGUUUCCUGCCAAUGUUUAUAUACAUGUAAAUUACAUGUCAAUUUUGAAACUCAUUUUGGGUUCAAUCCCAUUUUAAAUUAAUAGUUGCAACAACAAAAGAGAGUUGAACUGGGCAAAGUGAUUAAAAAUGGAUUUAAAGUAACGAAAAGGGCCACGGGAGAGGAAGGAGGUGUAUUUGAGAUGCUUGUUAUUGUGCUGUUUCCACUUUCCAAUUAGAUAGGGUCGGACAGAUUUACGAGUCCUAUUAUGCAUGGUUUUUGGACUGAAGCGGCUUCGUUGCGAGCAUUUGUCACCAUUGCAAGCAGCAGUUGGAGUGGUCCGGAAGGGUUUGAGGCCCGAAAUUCCGAGGCAUACGCAUCCAGGGAUAGCAGAGUUGCUUAACCGUUGCUGGCACCAAGACCCUUCCUUGAGACCUGAAUUCUCGGAGAUUCUGGAAUUUCUGCACCAUUUCUCCCGCAAAGUAUGUGGAGACGUUUUUUUUUUUUUUGACCACCAGCAGAAAAUGCAUCCAUUCAAAGGCAAAAGGCCAGAGUUUACAAACCGAAACAAGAACAAAGACAAGGCAAAUCAAAGAAACAAGAGAAGUCAUAAGCCCAAAGGCAAAGACUUGAGAAGAAAACACAGCACAGGAAAUAAACAAAGACCAAUUAGCCGAUGCCUUCAUGAUCCCUGUGGAUCACUGGUUGUUGGAAGAAUUGCUUGGAAUUGCCUGAAUCUUUAAGUAAAAUAGCUAAAAGAGGGGUGGAGGGUCGAGAAUCCAACCACCUGAGUCUACACCCUUUAAAGAGGAGGCUGCUAACCAGUCAGUAGCAGAGUUACCUUCUCGUUUGACAAACAAGAAAGAAAUAGAGUUCAAGGAAUCAAGCUUAACAAACAAA